rnacentral:rRNA from 1 species
GAUGAACGCUGACAGAAUGCUUAACACAUGCAAGUCUUUGGCGAAGCUGUGCUUGCACAGCCUAGCCAAGGCGGACGGGUGAGUAACGCGUAAGGAACUUGCCCUGCAGUCAGGGAUAACAGACGGAAACGACUGAUAAGACCUGGUAAAGUCAGGCGGACUCAUGUCCAGCCUGAUGAAAAGAGAUGCUGCAGGAGAGCCUUGCGUCCUAUUAGCUUGUUGGUGGGGUAACGGCCCACCAAGGCGAUGAUAGGUAGCCGGCCUGAGAGGGUGGACGGCCACAAGGGGACUGAGAUACGGCCCUUACUCCGACGGGAGGCAGCAGUGGGGAAUAUUGGACAAUGGGGGCAACCCUGAUCCAGCAAUUCUGUGUGCACGAUGAAGGUUUUCGGAUUGUAAAGUGCUUUCAGCAGGGAAGAAAAAAAUGACGGUACCUGCAGAAGAAGCGACGGCUAAAUACGU